rnacentral:lncRNA from 1 species
ACUUACAACAAGUGCAGCUGAGAGACAAGCAUAGAUUUACAUAAACCGGAGUCAGGAUUCACCAAAACAUUGUUAGUAAACUCUGAUGAUCGUUUAUAAAGCAUCAGGUAUUAGAUAGUGUUGGUUGGCGACUGAGUAGAUGAUCCAAGGAUGUUAUGAAAAUAAUGUGAUAAAGAGAGAAAAAAAUUGACAGAGAGAGAGGGAGUGAAUCAAGUUGGGCCAGAGACA